CAGCAGCCGCGGGAAUACGUAGGGCGCAAGCGUUGUCCGGAAUUAUUGGGCGUAAAGAGCUCGUAGGCGGUCUGUCGCGUCUGGUGUGAAAUCCCGAGGCUCAACCUCGGGCUUGCAUCGGGUACGGGCAGACUAGAGUGCGGUAGGGGAGACUGGAAUUCCUGGUGUAGCGGUGGAAUGCGCAGAUAUCAGGAGGAACACCGAUGGCGAAGGCAGGUCUCUGGGCCGCAACUGACGCUGAGGAGCGAAAGCAUGGGGAGCGAACAGGAUUAGAGACCCCUGUAGUCCCUGUCACUUAUAA
rnacentral:rRNA from 1 species